rnacentral:misc_RNA from 1 species
GACGAAGAACGUAGCGAAACGCGAUAAGUAAUGUGAAUUGCAGAAUCCAGUGAAUCAUCGAAUCUUUGAACGCACAUUGCGCCCGCCAGCAUUCUGGCGGGCAUGCCUGUUCGAGCGUCAUUUCAACCCUCGACCUCCCCUUGGGGAGGUCGGCGUUGGGGACCGGCAGCACACCGCCGGCCCUGAAAUGGAGUGGCGGCCCGUCCGCGGCGACCUCUGCGCAGUAAUACAGCUCGCACCGGGACCCCGACGCGGCCACGCCGUAAAACACCCAACUUCUGAACGUUGACCUCGAAUCAGGUAGGACUACCCGCUGAACUUAAGCAUAUCAAUAAGCGGAGGA